rnacentral:misc_RNA from 1 species
CCCUAUGCCAUUGUGGCGCUGCGUUUCAAAGAUGAACCGGUAGAACACAUUGUUGAUGGCCUUGCGAAUGAAUGGUCGGUGUACCAUGAACUUGCCAUAGAUGCGGUGGAGCACGGUCUUGAGGUACUCGCGCUCACGCGGAUCCUCGGAGUCAAAGAGGUCGAGGAGACGGAGGACGAAGGCGUGGUCCACAUACCGCUUGGCGACCUUGGUGUCGGUGUCGGGCGAAACAACGUAUCGGAGAAGGAGCUCAUAGACGAGCUGGAGGUGUGGCCAGGAGGGGUCGAGGUAUGGCUCCUCCUCCUCGUCGGGCGCGGCGCCGGGGUCGAUCGCGGCGGCGGAUUCGUGCAGCGCGGGUGGCAGCGGGCGGAAGAUGUUGGCAGAGAUGGCGGCGACGAGCGCCUCCUGGACGUGGUCCGGGAGGCGCGUGGGUGCGUUGGCGCCCGCAGCCUGAGCUGGAGCCUGCACGUAAUCGACGAGCUCGAGGAGAGCCUGGCGUUUGGCCUCCUUCUCCCGCGGGUGCUUGAGCGAGUCCGAAAGGUCAAAGAGCGCGGCGACGAUGCGGAGCUUGCGGAGGAAGAGGCCCGGGCGAUCCGCGGCGGCGACGUCGCGGAGGAGCGGGAGCGGCUCGAGGAGUGGCGGCGACGCCGCCCCCGCCGGGUUGGUCGCAAGCGCAGACGGCGCCACGUGCGGCGAAGUGGGCGAGGACGGCGAAGGCGCUGUGGCCCGGGAGGCGUGGUUGACGGUGACGGGCGCGGCUGCCCCCGCGCCGCCGCCGCCGCUCCCGGAGGACGAGGAGGGCGCUGCGGGGCGCGCGGCGGCCUCCGCGUUGUCCCCGCGCGCGCCCUUGCGGUUUCCCCUCUUGAUGAUCUUGUUGAACAUGGCGGCAGCGGCGGAUUGGGGUGCCGACGGCAGUGGAUCGGCCGAUCGGUCAGGCGACGAAUUCCCUCCUCGUGCCUCCGGGAUUUGGGGAUUUGGUGGCGACGGUAAGGGGGCGCUGUGGGGCCCAGGUGGAAGGGAAAGAACAGUGGCGAGGUGGGGUCAGUCGGUCAGGCUCGGCGAGGGCAGGGGAGGAGGCGGCAUGGCUCUCGCUGGCGAUUUUGGAGACGAGUGGAGGGGGGAGGGGAUCGAUGUGGAGGAAGAAGG